rnacentral:rRNA from 1 species
UACGAAGGGGGCUAGCGUUGUUCGGAUUUACUGGGCGUAAAGCGCACGUAGGCGGAUUGGUCAGUUAGGGGUGAAAUCCCGGAGCUCAACUCCGGAACUGCCAUUGAAACUGUUUAGCUUGAGGACGAGAGAGGUGAGUGGAAUUCCCAGUGUAGAGGUGAAAUUCGUAGAUAUUGGGAAGAACACCGGUGGCGAAGGCGGCUCACUGGCUCGUAUCUGACGCUCAGGCGCGACAGCGUGGGGAUCAAACAGG